GACGAACGCUGGCGGCGUGCCUAACACAUGCAAGUCGGACGGAUCAGGGAUGACAGCUUGCUGUAGUUCCUGGUUAGUGGCGGACGGGUGAGUAACGCGUGAGGACCUACCCUGGAGAGGGGGAUAACGGCUGGAAACGGCUGCUAAUACCCCGUAAGCCGGAGGGUGAAAGGGAGCGAUCUGCUCCGGGGCGGCCUUGCGUCCUAUCAGCUAGUUGGUGGGGUAAUGGCCUACCAAGGCGAAGACGGGUAGCCGGCCUGAGAGGGCGACCGGCCACACUGGAACUGAGACACGGUCCAGACUCCUACGGGAGGCAGCAGUGGGGAAUAUUGGGCAAUGGGGGCAACCCUGACCCAGCGACGCCGCGUGAGGGACGAAGUCCUUCGGGAUGUAAACCUCUGUUGUGGGGGAAGAAGCGAGUGACGGUACCUCACGAGGAAGCCCCGGCAAACUACGGCCAGCAGCGCGGUAAUCACGGAGUA
rnacentral:rRNA from 1 species